UGGGGAAUAUUGCACAAUGGGCGCAAGCCUGAUGCAGCCAUGCCGCGUGUGUGAAGAAGGCCUUCGGGUUGUAAAGCACUUUCAGCGAGGAGGAAGGUGGUGAGCUUAAUACGCUCAUCAAUUGACGUUACUCGCAGAAGAAGCACCGGCUAACUCCGUGCCAGCAGCCGCGGUAAUACGGAGGGUGCAAGCGUUAAUCGGAAUUACUGGGCGUAAAGCGCACGCAGGCGGUUUGUUAAGUCAGAUGUGAAAUCCCCGGGCUCAACCUGGGAACUGCAUUUGAAACUGGCAAGCUAGAGUCUCGUAGAGGGGGGUAGAAUUCCAGGUGUAGCGGUGAAAUGCGUAGAGAUCUGGAGGAAUACCGGUGGCGAAGGCGGCCCCCUGGACGAAGACUGACGCUCAGGUGCGAAAAGCGUGGGGCAGCAAACAGGAUUAGAUACCCUGGUAGUCCACGCUGUAAAACGAUGUCGAUUUUGGAGGUUGUGCCCUUGAGGCGUGGCUUCCGGAGCUAACGCGUUAAAUCGACCGCC
rnacentral:rRNA from 1 species